AGCAGUAGCCGCGGUAAUACGGAGGGUGCAAGCGUUAAUCGGAAUUACUGGGCGUAAAGCGCACGCAGGCGGUCUGACAAGUCAGAUGUGAAAUCCCCGGGCUUAACCUGGGAACUGCAUUUGAAACUGUCAGGCUGGAGUCUUGUAGAGGGGGGUAGAAUUCCAGGUGUAGCGGUGAAAUGCGUAGAGAUCUGGAGGAAUACCGGUGGCGAAGGCGGCCCCCUGGACAAAGACUGACGCUCAGGUGCGAAAGCGUGGGGAGCAAACAGGAUUAGAGACCCGGGUAGUCCUGUCUCUUAUACA
rnacentral:rRNA from 1 species